rnacentral:tRNA from 1 species
UGGGAUGUGGCUCAGUGGUAGAGCACUUACCUGGCAUGCAUGAGGUGCUGGGUUCGAUCCUCAGUACCGUAA